UGGAGGUGUAGUGACAGCUGUGUGUGGGGUCAGUACAGGAAUAGCAGAGAGAGCUGCAGGGCAGGAUGGAGGUGCAGUGACAAAGCUGUGUGUGGGGUCAGUACAGGAAUAGCAGAGAGAGCUGCAGGGCAGGAUGGAGGUGCAGUGACAGAGCUGUGUGUGGGGUCAGUACAGGAAUAGCAGAGAGAGCUGCAGGGCAGGAUGGAGGUGUAGUGACAGAGCUGUGUGUGGGGUCAGUACAGGAAUAGCAGAGUGAGCUGCAGGGCAGGAUGGAGGUGCAGUGACAGAGCUGUGUGUGGGGUCAGUACAGGAAUAGCAGAGAGAGCUGCAGGGCAGGAUGGAGGUGCAGUGACAGAGCUGUGUGUGGGGUCAGUACAGGAAUAGCAGAGAGAGCUGCAGGGCAGGAUGGAGGUGCAGUGACAGAGCUGUGUGUGGGGUCAGUACAGGAACAGCAGAGAGAGCUGCAGGGCAGGAUGAAGAUGUAGUGACAGAGCUGUGUGUGGGGUCAGUACAGGAAUAGCAGAGAGAGCUGCAGGGCAGGAUGGAGGUGUAGUGACAGAGCUGUGUGUGGGGUCAGUACAGGAACAGCAGAGAGAGCUGCAGGGCAGGAUGGAGGUGUAGUGACAGCUGUGUGUGGGGUCAGUACAGGAAUAGCAGAGAGAGCUGCAGGGCAGGAUGGAGGUGUAGUGACAGAGCUGUGUGUGGGGUCAGUACAGGAAUAGCAGAGAGAGCUGCAGGGCAGGAUGGAGGUGCAGUGACAGAGCUGUGUGUGGGGUCAGUACAGGAACAGCAGAGAGAGCUGCAGGGCAGGAUGGAGGUGCAGUGACAGAGCUGUGUGUGGGGUCAGUACAGGAAUAA